GAUGAACGCUGGCGGCGUGCUUAACACAUGCAAGUCGAACGGAAAGGCCGAAGCUUGCUUCGGUACUCGAGUGGCGAACGGGUGAGUAACACGUGGGUGAUCUGCCCUGUACUUCGGGAUAAGCUUGGGAAACUGGGUCUAAUACCGGAUAUGACAAUCUCUUGGAUGGGGUUGUGGAAAGCUUUUGCGGUAUGGGAUGAGCUCGCGGCCUAUCAGCUUGUUGGUGGGGUAAUGGCCUACCAAGGCGUCGACGGGUAGCCGGCCUGAGAGGGUGUACGGCCACAUUGGGAAUGAGAUACGGCCCAGGCUCCUACGGGAGGCAGCAGGGGGGAAUAUUGCACAAUGGGCGCAAGCCUGAUGCAGCGACGCCGCGUGGGGGAUGACGGCCUUCGGGUUGGAAACUCCUUUCGCAACCGACGAAGCUUUUUGUGACGGUAGGUUGAGAAGAAGCACCGGCUAACUACGUG
rnacentral:rRNA from 1 species